GGUGGGGUUCCCGAGCGGCCAAAGGGAGCAGACUGUAAAUCUGCCGUCAUCGACUUCGAAGGUUCGAAUCUUUCCCCCACCACCA
rnacentral:tRNA from 1 species